AAAAUGGGCAUGACCCAAAUAGAAAAUAAAUGGGCAUGACCCAAUAGAAAAUAAGUGGGCAUGGCCUAAUAGAAAAUAAAAAUAAAUAGAUUUGGCCUAAAUAGGAAAAAUGGAGAAGCCCAUGGAAAAGGCCCAAUGGUAUGUUAAUUUUAUAUUUUAAGAUUUAUGGGUAGUUUAAUACUGUGCAUAUUUUGGAUGAAAAAUAUGCAAGUUGCUUAAGGAAUUUUUAAUUAAGUUGCUACCCAUAUAAAUGUGUGAUUAAGUAUACUAAGUUUAAAUUGUUGCUAGGAAAGUUGUCGUGGAGGUGUGCCGAACGAAGUAUGUGACCGACAAAUAGGAAUAAUUAUACGCGUACGAAUCAAUAGUGAAGUAAUAUUCCACUAUAAUGAGGUGAGUAGGGGGUGUCAAUUUUAAAGAAUUCCGUAUAUAUAUACAUGUACAUAUAUUUUACGUGAAGUGCAAAAUUUACGGAAAACAUGCGUUGAUAGAAUUUUAAGGAAAUGUGGGUGUAAGUUAUUUUUAGAAAUCAUUUGAAAUAUAUAUAUAUAUAUAUUAGACGUAAAGUGUUUUAAACCGAGAAACAAGCUUUUCGAAAAGAUUUAUAUCAAAGGAAAUUGUGCCUUAUUGUUUGUGUG
rnacentral:lncRNA from 1 species